UGUAUAUCCCAGCAGCUGACGCUGCUUCUGGCUCUUAGUAGGGCUCACAGCAUUUAAUUUGUGGCUUGAGGAUAAAAAUAGUAAUAGUUACAUUUAUUGAGCAUUGCCUCAAGCAGCUACUGCCCUGGACUUUCUCGGUGUGUUUCCUCAUUUAAGCCUUACGCCAGCCCCGUGAGGAAGGUGCUGCUUACACUCCUGACUUACAGGUGAGAAACUGGGGCACAGAGACGGGCUGAGUGAACUGCCUGGCAGUUGCCCAGACCCACAGCGGGCUGCCGGCUGCAGCACCCCUUCCAACCCCACAGCCACCGCCCCGCAGAACCUGCGGAGGGAAAGGGCAUUCCAGGUCCCAGAGGGACCAACGGCUCGAACGCACAGACAGGUGAGCGAGGGUGGGGGCACCAAGCGGCAGUGAGGCUGCGGAUGGCAUGGGGCUGACUGCAGAGGCCUCGGAGGUCCCACAAGACGCCUGGCGACCCGCCUCAUGAGGUUAUGCUGAUUCUCCCAGGACCCACCUGCCCCUAGGGGGACGCAGAGCCCUCAGCCCACAGACACCAGACGGCCCUGGUCAGACACCAGGCCACGGGGCACCGCAGCCUGGAGAUAAUCUUCAGGCCCCAACAGUCCCUCUCCUGGGACGUGUGGCACAACAGACAACUGACCCCAUGGGGCCAGGCAUUGGUGCUAAAUAUAGGCCCAGAGGCCCUGAGCGAAGGGCAGAGGCUGAGAGGCCAGCUGGCCAGACAGGAGGGGCCACAAAACAGGCCACGCACCAACACGAAAGUCCACUCUCAUCCCAGGAGCCCGGCUGGCAGCGUCUGUCGCCACGGGACAUCCACCCCCAGAGCAUGGCCUGGGCGGUUGGCAGGCGCGGCAUGUGCCCGGGUCACACGCUCGGAGGGGCCAGGCCAGGAGCGAUGACAGUGCAAUUCAGACAGUGCAGCCGGCCGCUUCAGUGGCACCGGGAAAAUUCAAAAGGAAGGGCAGAAAAGCAAGAACAGAGAGAGGAAGACAAUUUAAAAUCUGGACCCUGCAUUAGCUGAGUGAACUUGGAAAUAUAUCUUAAGGUCUCUGAGCCUCCAUCUCCUUGGGUGUGAAAUGCAGACGGCCACGUCUGCCCCUCAGGACUGUGUGAGAUAAACGCCUCGUCUGCUCUGCUCCAAGGCUUGGUCUCCCCUCCUCAGAAGAAGGAACUUGGAGCAGAUGAGCCCUGAGGACCUUUAGUUCUGACAUCCUUUGCUGGUCUGCUCCUUCAGCUCUCAUGGGACAGAGGCUGUGUGGGCAGAGGUGUCACCAUUGCCAGUCCAGGCAAGACCCAGGAGGGCCUUGGUGACUCCAUCCGAACAGCAGGAUGAUAACGCCUCCCUCACAGGACGGCCAUGCAGGUACCCGGACCCCAGGAAGAGAUGAUUCCCAAGUAGGACUCAGGCAUGGCGAGAUCCAGCAAGGAAUGGGCUGGAAUGAUCUGACACCAGUGCCCCUGCUGGAACCAGGAGGAGUGCUAACUCAGACUGCACGCUGAUGGCAUCUCCCAGCAAGGAAGAUAUCGUCUGCACAGGACUGACGAAGCAUGCUCCAAGCAUGUCCCCACCAGGCCCAGGACACCCUCCAGGGGCAAGACUCUCCCUGGAGAAGGUCAGAGCUCACAGGCAGAAGGCGCUGGGGCUACAGGUUUCUGCUGCCUGUGGCUCCUUAUCAAGGGCUGCAACUCCAGAGCAGAGCAAGACAACCUUACUAUGCCCCCCUUGGGGUGGGAAUAACUCGGCGGCUGCCAGCGGAGGAUAGUUGGCGAUUUGUACAAGGCGGGCGUGGGGUUUAGAGCUGUGAGGCUGGCUGAGGCCAUGGCUCUGCCAUCCUCUCUGUCCUGCUCGUCUGUCCUGGCCACUCUUCUCUGAGGGGUCAGUCAUGGCCCAGAAGGCCCCAGCUGGCUGCAAACAGCCUGUCCCAUGAUUGAGUUUGUACCUCAAAUCUGCUAAUUUUGAUGGAAAUCCUUCUAAGAUCCCAUUGGUCCUCCCUUUCCACGCAUGUGGGCUGUUGGAAAUAAUGGGGCCAGGACCAGACAGCCCUUUGCCAGUCCUAGGGGCCCUGCAGGGUGGUGAAGCCUCAUCCUGUGGGUGUCACCCCCACAUCUAGGAUGUCGACAGGGUGUGGGGCUGACCUGCCCUUCUCGCCCAUCUUGAGGGUGAGUGAUAUGCCCUCUCUCUGCUCCCUAUACGUGGAGAAGACCGUCUGUCUUCUCUCCCUGGAGUUUGCCUUGGUGCCCUGAGCUGGGAGGUUGAGGGGGGUCCGGAUUGCUUCCCAGGAAAGGCACUGUCGGUCGGCCCAGCCCACAGGGCAUAGCACCUGUUUUAAAGAGACGAGGAGAGGCCGGGACUCCUCUGCCUUGUCCUGGCUCCUUCUUUCCCUUCCAAAGAUGCGCCUUCUUCCCUCCAGGGACUUGGGGCCUUUGUGGGCCCUCCCCACCCCUGCCGUCUGCCCUCUGUCCACCCCGCUCCAGAACACUGCCCAGGGUGAAUGUCGGACUCUUGUCUGUUCCUCUUCAUCUCCUGAAACCAAAAUAAACUGAUAUACGAGGCAGCCAGGGCCGGGGGCCAGGAGCCGAGGCCGCAGGGCACUGCUUUUAGCAGGUGGUGUCCCAGCGCUGGGUCUGAGCCGUCCCAGGACUUGGCACUGACCCACAACCCAGCUCCACCCCACCCUCAACUGGCUCUUCCUCUCCCCUCUCUCUCUCUCCUUCCUGGAAGAGAUGUCAUUGUCAUAAGGAAAAUGUGCUGGUAUUGGCAUCCUCUCUGGGCCCCACGAGGUGUGGGACGCUAUGAAUGCCUCCCCAGCACACACACACACACACCUUUAUUCACGGGAAUUCAGAUUAAAACAAACAUGGAGGGAAGCUUGGAAGGGAGAGGCCAGGUAUGUGUGUGUGUUUGUGUGUGUGUGGCCAAGAGCCAGGCUGAGGCUGGCAGACAGUGCCAUGGCCCUCCCCAGUUCAGCCCCAGGAGCUGUGAGCACAUACAUUCAACAGCUAUUUAAGAGCACCCACUGUGUGCCAGGCACUGUUGUAGGCACUGACACACAGCAGUGAAAAGAAAGACUAUUCUAGAUGGGAGAGACGUGCAAUAAACAAAAUACAAAUAUAUGAUGGGUAAGGGGGAUGAUGAGUGCUGUGGAGAAAAAUAAAGCAGGAUAUGAGGCUGGAGAGUGGGGAGGAGAGAGUCUAUUUAGGAUCCAGAGAGUAGGGUCCCCCUGGGCCAUGCAUGAGCCCUGCAGGCUUUCUCUGGGUGGUCACAUCCUGCUUGCUGCUCCCCCCCAGCUGUUUGGUUUCUGCCUCUGCCUAUUUCUGUCCCGUAAAACCCUCCCGGGGGACUGUUCCUCAGGACCAGCUCUGGGGCCUUGUAGGAGGGCUCCAGAGAUCACUGAGGCCGGGGCUUCUCAGAUGCUUGACGCAAUUUGACGUUCAAAUUAAAACUGCAAUGAGAUACCACUCAGGCCCACCAGAAUGGAUAAUAUGAAAAAAGAUGGAAAAUACCAAGUGUUGGGCAGGAUACGGAGCAGCUGGAACUCUUGCGCGCAGCUGGCAGGAAUGUAAAUUGGUACAACACCUUUGGGAAAUUGUGUGGCAUUUACUCCAGCUGAGCAUAUACCCGCCCUAUGACCCAGCGAUUCCCAUCUUGGGUGUAUACCCCACAGAAACGGGCGCGCAGAUCCACCAAAUUAAUGUUCUAAAAUAUUCAUAGCUACACUCUUCAGCAUUGCCCCAAACCGGGACCCACCCAAAUGUCCACCAACAGUAGGAUGGAUAAACUGUGAUGUAUUUGUAGUGUGGAAUACUAUGCAGCCGCGAGAAGGAACAAUCUGCAACUACAUGAAACGAUAUGGGUGGAUCUCACAGUAAACUGAUGAACGAAAGAGGACACAGGUGUGGCUCUACUCACGUGAAGUUCAGAACAAUCUGUGCCGCUGGAGGGCCGGAGGGCGGUCACCCCUGGCGGGAAGUGGUGGGUGGUGGUGUAGAGGUGAGGGCGGGGACCAAAGAGGCUUCCUGGGUUCUGCUAAUAGUCUCUCUUUGAUGUGGAUGCCGGGUGUGUUCAGUUCGUGAAAUGCAAUGGAGCUGGACACUUAGGACCCGCGCGCUUUUCUGUGGGUCUGUUACACUUUAAUAA
ensembl:lncRNA